UGAGGAAUAUUGGUCAAUGGGCGCAGGCCUGAACCAGCCAAGUAGCGUGAAGGAUGACUGCCCUAUGGGUUGUAAACUUCUUUUAUAUGGGAAUAAAGUUUUCCACGUGUGGAAUUUUGUAUGUACCAUAUGAAUAAGGAUCGGCUAACUCCGUGCCAGCAGCCGCGGUAAUACGGAGGAUCCGAGCGUUAUCCGGGUUUAUUGGGUUUAAAGGGAGCGUAGGUGGACAGUUAAGUCAGUUGUGAAAGUUUGCGGCUCAACCGUAAAAUUGCAGUUGAAACUGGCAGUCUUGAGUACAGUAGGGGUGGGCGGAAUUCGUGGUGUAGCGGUGAAAUGCUUAGAUAUCACGAAGAACUCCGAUUGCGAAGGCAGCUCACUAGACUGCAACUGACACUGAUGCUCGAAAGUGUGGGUAUCAAACAGG
rnacentral:rRNA from 1 species